rnacentral:rRNA from 1 species
UACGUAGGGUGCGAGCGUUAAUCGGAAUUACUGGGCGUAAAGCGUGCGCAGGCGGCUCUAUAAGACAGAUGUGAAAUCCCCGGGCUUAACCUGGGAACUGCGUUUGUGACUGUAGAGCUAGAGUGUGGCAGAGGGGGGUGGAAUUCCACGUGUAGCAGUGAAAUGCGUAGAGAUGUGGAGGAACACCGAUGGCGAAGGCAGCCCCCUGGGUUAACACUGACGCUCAUGCACGAAAGCGUGGGUAGCAAACAGG